UGUUAACAUUUCUCUAAAGAGAAAGAGAGUAUCUCAGUGAAAGAGAGUUUCCCAGAGUAAGAGAGUUUCCCAGAGUAAGAGCAGAACUCUGUUAAAACAACAUCCACAAAAGUUCAUGUUUCGAAUAAUAUGCAGUGGUAGCACAGUUUGUCUUUGUUUCCGGUUGUGGUGUGCGACAAGGACUUGCGCUUUGUAUCCUUGUUUUUUGUGGUUUAACUUUAGGCAAGUUCUUUUAGGCUGUUUUGGAUUUUGGUUGGCCAAAAGUUUUCCAUUGAUGUUAACACCGAAUGUCUGUGCCAGAGAUGAUGUUGCUAACAUAAAGUUCUAAGCUGUGCUGAGUUAACAGAGCUCUGUUGCUGUUGUCUCAGACUCCAAAUGCGGCCGACAAUGGCAAAGUAAAGUUUUUUUGCUUUUAGUUAAUUUUUAUACGUUAGUGACGGAACACACACUGCUAAGGGGAAUUACGGUUUAUUACAAUUACAAAAUUCAUCCAAAAGAAAAAGAAGAAGAAGAGGAUGUUUAGAAAAAAAGAAAGAAAUAAUUUGAAGUUGUUUUGAGUUUUUUCUACCUUUAACAAAGAGUGUAUAUAUAUGAAAAUUUUACUAAAUUUAGAAAAAUGGCUAAGAUAUGCAAAUAAAAAAAAAUUGAAAAAAUAUAAAUAAUUGUAAAAUAUAACUAAAAUUUAAAAAAAUACAUAUUAUGUGCUUUAAAAAAGUGUUUAAUUUAAGAAAAAAUAAAAAAAUAAUUGAAACUAAAAUGGAAAUAAACCGGUGUUAAAAUAAAAAUAAAUAAUAAAAAUAUUUAAGUGAUUGUUAUAAGAAAAAAUAAUAUUAUUACUUAUAAAAUUCCUAAAUAUAAUAUGUAAAAAAUAAAAAAAAAAAAAAUAUUUUAAGUAAUUUGAAAAAAGUAAAAUGGUAAAAAUUAUUCAUUAUCUUAAGUGCAAAAAAUGUUAAAAAGUAAUAAAUUAAUUUUACCAUAAAACAUAAAAGAAUAAUAGCUCCUAAUAACAGUAAUUAAUUAAAGUAAACAAAAAAAGUAAAUAUAUAUCUCCUUUGUAAUAACUUGAAAAAAAUAUGUGUAACAGUGUUUUCUAAUUACCUGGUUUAUAACAACACAAAAAGGAAAGUGAAGAAGUGUACCAGUGAAGAGAAUCUUGUGGGGGAAAAACCAACAACAACAGCAACAAAUGUAACAACAAUAACAUCAUCUGAAAUUUAUACAAUUACCGAACAUAUAAAAAUUCAACAACUCUCUUGAAUUUGCUGUAUCAACAAUUUUCGUUUCGUUUCUUCGUUCGUUCGUCCAUCCUUCCUUCUUUCUCGAUGGGGCAUUCAAUGCUUCAUUUCAUCAGCAUUUAACCGUCUACAUAUUAAAGUGCGGAGCAGUUUUCUUUAUGGAAACCUUACAGCUGGAAACUCAACAAGAAAAUAAAAUCCGUCCGUUCAUUGAUGACGUUCAACAGCAAAGCAAAAGAACUGAGUAAUCUUUUGCAGGACCAAAUGUUAAUUGACAGCUUUAAAGGAAAACUAAUUACCAAACGGACCCCAAUGAUCAUUUCAUAUACAAUUCAUUCAUUUUAAUUUUAAAUGACACAAACAACAACUACAAGGACCAAAGCAAGGGAAUAACACAGGAACCUAAAACUUAAGCUGUAAUGGCCAACUGGCAACAAAAACAACAACAACUACUGUCUGAUUAAAGGGAAACUAUUACAAAACUUGUAAAGUGACAGCCAAAGGAAAUGCAGCUAAAAGAAAGCCAAAAACAAACAACAACAACAACAAAUAUGCUCAGCAACACGAAGCCCGAAGAAGCUGGGGAUAGCUAGAUGGCUAGCUUUAAGGCAAAGUUAAAUGCAGCAAAAAAACUACUACAGCAACAACAGCAACUAACAGGAACAAAAACUUAAACUUAACUUUCAACUCUAAAGGACCACAUUAAUUUAAUUAAACAACAAAAACAAGGACAACAAUAUAUAAAUUACAAUUUUGUAAAUUAUCUAUUUGAAAAAAAAAAAAUAAUUUAAUAAAAAUAAAUUGUGCAGGAAUGUAACUACAACACUAAGGACCAACAACAAGGAUUAACAAAUUUGGAAACUACGAGGGAUAAAAAUUACAAAAAAAAAAUUGAAAAUAAAAAAAAAUAAUUUUUAAAUUAA